GACGAACGCUGGCGGCGUGCCUAAUACAUGCAAGUUGAGCGCUGAAGGUUGGGAUUUGUACCAUAUGGAUGAGCAGCGAACGGGAGUGUAACGCGUGGGGACUCCGCCUUAGAGCGGGGGACAACAUUUGAACACGAAUGCUAAUAGCGCAUAACAACUUUUUACAUAAGAUUUAAGUAUGAAAGAUGCAAUUGCAUCACUCAAAGAUGAAUCCGCGUUGUAUUAGCUAGAUGGUGUGGCAAAGGCUCACCAAGGCGAUGAUACAGAGCCGACCUGAGAGGGUGAUCGGCCACAUUGGGACUGAGACACGGCCCAGACUCCUACGGGAGGCAGCAGUAGGGAAUCUUCGGCAAUGGACGGAAGUCUGACCGAGCAACGCCGCGUGAGUGAAGAAGGUUUUCGGAUCGUAAAUCUCUGCUGGUAGAGAAGAACGUUGGUGAGAGUGGAAAGCUCAUCAAGUGACGGUAACUUCCCAGAAAGGGACGGCUAACUACGUG
rnacentral:rRNA from 1 species